GGAGUUAGGAAAUGUAAGUUUGAUAAUACCAAAUUUACUUGACAAAGGCUCCAAAGGAAGCCACGGCUUACUCUGUGCCAGCAGCCGCGGUAAUACAGAGGUGGCGAGCGUUGUUCGGAAUUAUUGGGCGUAAAGAGCACGUAGGUGGAUUUGUAAGUCAGAUGUGAAAGCCUUCUGUUCAACGGAAGAAUUGCAUCUGAAACUACAAACCUUGAGUAUAGGAGGGGAGAGUGGAACUUCUG
rnacentral:rRNA from 1 species